rnacentral:misc_RNA from 1 species
GAUGAAGAACGCAGCGAAAUGCGAUAAGUAAUGUGAAUUGCAGAAUUCAGUGAAUCAUCGAAUCUUUGAACGCACAUUGCGCCCGCCAGUAUUCUGGCGGGCAUGCCUGUUCGAGCGUCAUUUCAACCCUCAAGACCCCUUCGGGGGACUUGGUGUUGGGGACCGGCACAGGGGCCUGCCUGCUUGUCUUGCAGCGCCCUCGCCGCCCCCGAAAUGAAUUGGCGGCCUCGUCGCGGCCUCCCCUGCGUAGUAGCACAACCUCGCAACGGGAACGUGACGGCGGCCACUGCCGUAAAACAACCCAAUUUUAUUAGAGUUGACCUCGAAUCAGGUAGGAAUACCCGCUGAACUUAAGCAUAUCAUAAGCGGAGGA